rnacentral:rRNA from 1 species
GUGAGGAAUAUUGGUCAAUGGGCGCGAGCCUGAACCAGCCAAGUAGCGUGAGGGAUGACUGCCCUAUGGUUCGUAAACUUCUUUUGCAGGGGAAUAAAGUGCAGGACGUGUCCUGUUUUGUAUGUACCCUGAGAAUAAGGAAAGGCUAACUCCGUGCCAGCAGCCGCGGUAAUACGGAGGAUCCGAGCGUUAUCCGGAUUUAUUGGGUUUAAAGGGUGCGUAGGUGGUGUGAUAAGUCAGCGGUUAAAGUUUGCAGCUUAACUGUAAAAAUGCCGUUGAAACUGUCGGACUUGAGUGUAAAUGAGGUAGGCGGAAUGCGUGGUGUAGCGGUGAAAUUCAUAGAUAUCACGCAGAACUCCGAUUGCGAAGGCAGCUUACUAAGCUACAACUGGCACUGAAGCACGAAAGCGUGGGGAUCAAACAGGAUUAGAUACCCGUGUAGUUC